rnacentral:rRNA from 1 species
AUUGAACGCUGGCGGCAGGCCUAACACAUGCAAGUCGAGCGCGAAAGUUCUUCGGAAUGAGUAAAGCGGCGGACGGGUGAGUAAUACAUGGGAAUCUGCCUGGUAGUGGGGGACAACAUUUCGAAAGGAACGCUAAUACCGCAUACGCCCUACGGGGGAAAGGGGGGGAUCUUCGGACCUCUCGCUAUCAGAUGAGCCCA